UUUAUUCGAAUCAUUUCAUAUGUCGUGUGGCUCUCAAAUUACUUGAACGGGGGUUGAGGGAGUUUAAGCUUCAAGUCAUUUUAGUGCAGGUGUGCUUAAUUGAAUGCAUUGUUCAACGAUGCCUUGUAUCUGCUGUUCCUGCUCCACGUCAACUGCACCGACAUGUGCUUGACUUUCCACUGUUGAAGGUACAAGUAAACACCAACCAAAACUGGAUUUUGCCGCAACAGUACAUGCUUUGACAUGUCAGUCAGGGGCAAAUGUUUUCAACACAUGAGGAUGGACCAAGUGUCUUUUCCACAAAACAGUGGCAUGGGAAAAUAAGGCGGAGAAUGCCAGGCUGUGUGAAAGGUGACAUCAGAGACAUUUUCCAUCGCCGUUGCCCCAUUUUGUGUGGACCAAAAUGGCAAGCCUCUGGGUCUUCCCGUCCCCCGAGGGGGAGGAGCCACAGCUCGCCCCGGAGGUGUUGCAAGUUGGGCAGCUGGAAGAUUUUGGCUGGGAUGGAGGAGAGACGGUUGCGGUUGAGUCGGAGAACCUGAAGACUGCUGGACAGGAUUUCGGAGAGCCUCCACAAGGAUUGCUUCCUCAUGGCCUUCGUUUCCGACGCCUGCUUUCAACUCCAGCAACAUUCGAGUGACGGCAGCCACUUUCAAGUAACGCCAACUUUUUCUUUGGCUACUUUGGGGUACAGUAGCAAGCAGGCGACAAAUGUUUCCGUCCCCCCUCCACUCCCCCCCAAAAAAAUCAAAACAGUCCUUAUUAACCCAACAACCAACUCUUUUGUCACUUAAGAGCAAAGAGUAGAAUGUAGAUUGAGUUUCUUC